AACGAACGCUGGCGGCAGGCCUAACACAUGCAAGUCGAGCGAGGACUUCGGUUCUAGCGGCGGACGGGUGAGUAACGCGUGGGAAUGUGCCCUUCUCUACGGAAUAGCCCUGGGAAACUGGGAGUAAUACCGUAUACGCCCUUUUGGGGAAAGAUUUAUCGGAGAAGGAUCAGCCCGCGUUGGAUUAGGUAGUUGGUGGGGUAAUGGCCUACCAAGCCGACGAUCCAUAGCUGGUUUGAGAGGAUGAUCAGCCACACUGGGACUGAGACACGGCCCAGACACCUACGGGAGGCAGCAGUGGGGAAUCUUAGACAAUGGGGGCAACCCUGAUCUAGCCAUGCCGCGUGAGUGAUGAAGGCCUUAGGGUUGUAAAGCUCUUUCAGCUGGGAAGAUAAUGACGGUACCAGCAGAAGAAGCCCCGGCUAACUCCGU
rnacentral:rRNA from 1 species